UUAUUUCCCAAACGGUCAAAUCAAAUUGGGAGAGUUCGCAGAUUCAUCGAGUCCGGCCGACGGCGAAGGUUCUUCAUCUCUUCCGACGAUCUUUUCCCGGAUCAGAUUAGCCCAAUUCUUAAGAUUCCCUCAAUAGAUCCGUAGGAUCAAGAUCAUGCCUUCUCUUGCUGACUCCAGCAUCCAUGGGUUUUAAUUUGAUGCAAACUUGCUGUCGUCUACCUGUUGGAAGGCUGACGGAGACACCUUUUGUCCCAAGAGAGAGGCUUUUGAAGCAUCAGCAAUAUUUCCAGAGUGUUCAGAAACAUACAUACUUGAAAGAGUGAUAUGACAGGAAACUUUUUCUUGUUCGGUAAGCUUGUCGUAGGGAUGAUAGCCCGUGCAGAACUCAGUAAUUUGAUGUUUGACUGAAUCUUGUUCUUGAAGUGUUGCUGUUAAACAUCUUUGAUAACAGGUAACAUAUUUUGAUCUUUGCAAGUGUUUUGCAUCGAAAACAUUACACUAAUGCUUGACUCAUCAGUAAGCCAGGCAAAAGCUGUGUGCAACAGGAGAGUGACCAUGAUGCUACAUGGUGCAAAAGUAAUGCUAAAGAGAAAUGGCACUGCAGUUUUGAAGAACUUGUAUUAUGGGCUUUCGCUGUCCUUGUAAUAGGUUCUAAGCUUCAGGUUAAAGGAGUUUGCCACGAUCCGGUACUAGCAAAAUAUGGCAGACAUGCUUCCUUUUUCUUGAGCUCCCUUUGUUAGCUGGGUCAGGUAAGCUUUUUCAGGCUCGAUGCAUCUCUUGAAGUAUCUAGAUUGUUGGAAAUUUCCACCUGAUCUGCAACCUUCGAACAUGCGAGUUUGCAUCCAUAUUUUGCUAGAUUUUAUAUAUCCUAAAGAGAAACAAAAUUUGGUUGGUGUAUCAAUAUGCAGGUUUGUUUGAAAUUCCAGCUCCCACAAAGAAAUCUAUUGCUGAUAGAAACAGCAUCUUUCUCCUCCUGUUUUGGAGUCCCUAAUUAUGCCCGUUUAAUGACGAUAUCUAAUCUGAAAUACUACAAUUUGUGUAUUUUACUAUUUGUGUUCCAUCGAUUGAAUUCAGUCAGCAAUGCUGUCACUGGCAUUAGAAAAUUAAAAUAUCUUUAUUCCA